GAGUUUGAUCCUGGCUCAGGAUGAACGCUAGCGGCAGGCUUAACACAUGCAAGUCGAGGGGUAACGGGGAAGCUUGCUUCCGCCGACGACCGGCGCACGGGUGCGUAACGCGUAUACAAUCUACCUUAUACUGGGGUAUAGCCUUUAGAAAUGAAGAUUAACCCCCCAUAGUCUCUUAGAGUGGCAUCACUUCUAGAGUAAAGGUUACGGUAUAAGAUGAGUAUGCGUUCUAUUAGUUUGUUGGUGUGGUAACGGCACACCAAGACUACGAUAGAUAGGGGCCCUGAGAGGGGGAUCCCCCACACUGGUACUGAGACACGGACCAGACUCCUACGGGAGGCAGCAGUGAGGAAUAUUGGACAAUGGAGGCAACUCUGAUCCAGCCAUGCCGCGUGCAGGAAGACUGCCCUAUGGGUUGUAAACUGCUUUUAUACAGGAAGAAACACCUCUACGUGUAGAGGCUUGACGGUACUGUAAGAAUAAGGAUCGGCUAACUCCGUGCCAGCAGCCGCGGUAAUACGGAGGAUCCAAGCGUUAUCCGGAAUCAUUGGGUUUAAAGGGUCCGUAGGUGGAUAAUUAAGUCAGAGGUGAAAUCUUGCAGCUCAACUGUAAAAUUGCCUUUGAAACUGGUUAUCUUGAGUUAUUAUGAAGUAGUUAGAAUAUGUAGUGUAGCGGUGAAAUGCAUAGAUAUUACAUAGAAUACCAAUUGCGAAGGCAGAUUACUAAUAAAUCAACUGACACUGAUGGACGAAAGCGUGGGUAGCGAACAGGAUUAGAUACCCUGGUAGUCCACGCCGUAAACGAUGGUUACUAGCUGUUUGGACUUCGGUCUGAGUGGCUAAGCGAAAGUGAUAAGUAACCCACCUGGGGAGUACGUUCGCAAGAAUGAAACUCAAAGGAAUUGACGGGGGCCCGCACAAGCGGUGGAGCAUGUGGUUUAAUUCGAUGAUACGCGAGGAACCUUACCAGGGCUUAAAUGUAAGUUGCAUUAGUUAGAGAUAGCUAUCUCUUCGGACCACUUACAAGGUGCUGCAUGGUUGUCGUCAGCUCGUGCCGUGAGGUGUCAGGUUAAGUCCUAUAACGAGCGCAACCCCUGUUGUUAGUUGCCAGCGGGUCAUGUCGGGAACUCUAGCAAGACUGCCAGUGCAAACUGUGAGGAAGGUGGGGAUGACGUCAAAUCAUCACGGCCCUUACGUCCUGGGCUACACACGUGCUACAAUGGUAGGUACAGAGAGCAGCCACUGCGCGAGCAGGAGCGAAUCUAUAAAACCUAUCACAGUUCGGAUCGGAGUCUGCAACUCGACUCCGUGAAGCUGGAAUCGCUAGUAAUCGGAUAUCAGCCAUGAUCCGGUGAAUACGUUCCCGGGCCUUGUACACACCGCCCGUCAAGCCAUGGAAGUUGGAAGUGCCUGAAGUCCGUCACCGCAAGGAGCGGCCUAGGGUAAAGUCGAUAACUAGGGCUAAGUCGUAACAAGGUAACC
rnacentral:rRNA from 1 species